AGAGUUUGAUCAUGGCUCAGGAUGAACGCUAGCGACAGGCUUAACACAUGCAAGUCGAGGGGCAGCAUGAUUUGUAGCAAUACAGAUUGAUGGCGACCGGCGCACGGGUGAGUAACGCGUAUGCAACUUACCUAUCAGAGGGGGAUAGCCCGGCGAAAGUCGGAUUAAUACCCCAUAAAACAGGGGUCCCGCAUGGGAAUAUUUGUUAAAGAUUCAUCGCUGAUAGAUAGGCAUGCGUUCCAUUAGGCAGUUGGCGGGGUAACGGCCCACCAAACCGACGAUGGGUAGGGGUUCUGAGAGGAAGGUCCCCCACAUUGGUACUGAGACACGGACCAAACUCCUACGGGAGGCAGCAGUGAGGAAUAUUGGUCAAUGGCCGAGAGGCUGAACCAGCCAAGUCGCGUGAAGGAAGAAGGAUCUAUGGUUUGUAAACUUCUUUUAUAGGGGAAUAAAGUGGAGGACGUGUCCUUUUUUGUAUGUACCCUAUGAAUAAGCAUCGGCUAACUCCGUGCCAGCAGCCGCGGUAAUACGGAGGAUGCGAGCGUUAUCCGGAUUUAUUGGGUUUAAAGGGUGCGUA
rnacentral:rRNA from 1 species